AACUGCUCAAGCAAAAUGGUUUUUUUCGGCGUAAAUGCCAGAAUAAAAGAAAAAUAUUAAUGGAGCGACCCAACUUACUACACUGGAGAUAUAAAUACCUUCGUGAAAUACGGAAAUAUCGUCAAGAAAAACGGAAUAUUGUUUAUUUGGAUAAGACCUGGGAAGACAACGACCUAACUUUUAAGAAAUGCUGGCAGAGCGACACUGUUUCUGGUGUAAUUAGAAAUAUAGGCUCGAGAGGUCGACUGAUAAUUGUGCAUGCUGGUUCAGUAAAUGGAUUUGUUGACAAUGCGUGUUUAAUAUUUAAAGCGGGGUUAGCUACUGGUGACUACCAUGGCCAGAUGAACAAGGAAAGUUUUACUCGGUGGCUUACAGAAAAACUGCUUUCUAAUAUACCGCCCAAUUCAGUAAUCGUUUAUGACAAUGCUCCGUAUCACUCCGUCCAAGAGGAUGUAAGACUCCAACCAAGUCAUCUUUGAAAAAAGACAUAGUAGCUUGGUUAACGAAAAAAGGAAUUAAUCAUGACGCGACCGCAAGAAAAUUUGAUUUGUUUGAUCUAGUUCUAAUCCACAAGCCUCCUGAUCAUGAAAAAAAUUAUGUAGUGGAUCGCAUUUUUAAAUCACAUGGCCAUAUACCAGUCCGAACGCCCCCGUAUCUAUGUGAAUUGAACCCAAUAGAGCUGGCUUGGGCAAAACUAAAAUAUAUUAUAAGAAGCCGCAAUACAACUGGAAACUUCAACCUAACGGCACUAAAAGAAGUGACCAAUGAAGCUAUGUCUUUAAUAUCCCCUCAUGAUUGGCAGAAAUUUUGCCAACAUGUUAAGGAUAUUGAAGACAA
rnacentral:lncRNA from 1 species